UUUCGAAAGAGAGAUUAAUACCGCAUAAGACAGCACGAUCGCAUGAGAGAGCUGUUAAAGCGUCGGUGAAUAAAGAUGGGCCUGCGUUGCAUUAGCUAGUUGGUAAGGUAACGGCUUACCAAGGCUACGAUGCAUAGGGGAUCUGAGAGGAUGAUCCCCCACACUGGUACUGAGACACGGACCAGACUCCUACGGGAGGCAGCAGUAAGGAAUAUUGGUCAAUGGGCGGAAGCCUGAACCAGCCAUGCCGCGUGCAGGAGGGUUGUAAACUGCUUUUAUCGGGGAAUAAACCUCAUUACGUGUAAUGAGUUGAAGGUACCCGAAGAAUAAGGAUCGGCUAACUCCGUGCCCAGCAGCCGCGGUAAUACGGAGGAUCCAAGCGUUAUCCGGAUUUAUUGGGUUUAAAGGGUGCGUAGGCGGUUUAUUAAGUCAGUGGUGAAAGCCCGGAGCUCAACUUCGGAACUGCCAUUGAUACUGAUAGACUUGAGUACAGAUGAAGUGGGCGGAAUGUGACAAGUAGCGGUGAAAUGCUUAGAUAUGUCACAGAACACCCGAUUGCGAAGGCAGCUCACUAAAGUGUAACUGACGCUGAGGCACGAAAGCGUGGGGAUCAAACAGGAUUAGAUACCCUGGUAGUCCACGCCCUAAACGAUGAUUACUCGCUGUUAGCGAUAUACAGUUAGCGGCUAAGCGAAAGCGUUAAGUAAUCCACCUGGGGAGUACGGUCGCAAGAUUGAAACUCAAAGGAAUUGACGGGGGCCCGCACAAGCGGAGGAGCAUGUGGUUUAAUUCGAUGAUACGCGAGGAACCUUACCCGGGUUUGAAAGUUAGUGAAGAAUGUAGAAAUAUGUUCGUCCUUCGGGACACGAAACUAGGUGCUGCAUGGCUGUCGUCAGCUCGUGCCGUGAGGUGUUGGGUUAAGUCCCGCAACGAGCGCAACCCCUAUGUUUAGUUGCCAGCAUGUAAAGAUGGGGACUCUAAACAGACUGCCUGUGCAAACAGAGAGGAAGGAGGGGACGACGUCAAGUCAUCAUGGCCCUUACGUCCGGGGCUACACACGUGCUACAAUGGAUGGUACAGAGGGCCGCAAGCUGGUAACAGCAAGCCAAUCUCAAAAAGCCAUUCACAAUUCGGAUUGA
rnacentral:rRNA from 1 species